rnacentral:rRNA from 1 species
UACGGGGGGGUGCGAGCGUUUGUCCGGAAUCACUGGGCGUAAAGGGCGCGUAGGUGGUGGCUUAAGCGUGCGGUGAAAGCUCGGGGCUCAACUCCGAGUCGGCCGUGCGAACUGGGCUCACUGGAGCAUAGUAGAGGCAGGUGGAAUUCCGGGUGUAGCGGUGGAAUGCGUAGAGAUCCGGAAGAACACCGGUGGCGAAGGCGGCCUGCUGGGCUAUGGCUGACACUGAGGCGCGACAGCGUGGGGGAGCAAACAGG